UGACUGCAGCCCACGCUCUCCCAACCAGAAGUGGCCUCCUGCCUGGUGGGAGCGUCCUCCCGGCCAGCUAGUGCCCCCUUAACCUAGUCUGCCAUCCUGCAGCACCCUUUCUAACCGGGGCCACCUACAAAGGAAGUGGGGCACAGACUAAUGGGCCCUGUGCCCAGAAGGGAGGAGGAGGAAGAAAAAAUGGGGUACUUAGGGUGCCCUACCCACCCACAGGCAGGCCCCAGACCACAGCUGGAGAUAUCCAAAUGUUAAUCACCAAUUAGCACAGUUCAGGUGGAAAGGGCAACUCUAUUAUGUGUAAAAUGAACUUAAUGUGGCAGGAGCUGUGGGCUUAAUUUCUUGAGAUAAGAUGCUUUUAGGCUAAUCAGCGGGUCUAAGAUGCCUGGAUAUAAAGGAGCUGGGCAGACUUCUUCAGCAGUCUCCGAAGGUCCAGAAGUAGGAGGAAGGGACCCCCAUCCUGUCCUUCUGGAAGAGCUGGAAAGAAAGUCUGGAAAUAACCCUGGAAGAUGGUGGCCAUGAAGAUGUUCUCUAUGCUGCUGGUGCUCCUGUUCUUGGCAGUGGGGUUUGGAGAGAAGGAAGAGGACCGUCCCUUCAGAUCCUAUGCUAAGGUGAGUGGCUCCCGACCUCAAGGCCCAAGGUAUGCCGAGGGGACUUUCAUCAGUGACUACAGUAUUGCCAUGGACAAGAUCCGCCAACAAGACUUUGUGAACUGGCUGCUGGCUCAAAAGGGGAAGAAGAAUGACUGGAAACACAACAUCACCCAGAGGGAGGCCCGGGCCCUGGAGCUCACUGGUCAGUCUACCAGGAAGGAGGAGGAGGCAGCUGGGCAGCAGAGCUCCCCACCCAGGAACCCCAGUGAUGAAGAUUUGCUAAGGGAUUUGCUGAUUCAAAAGCUGCUGGCCUGGAUGGUGGAUCUCACAGAGCUCGGCAAGCUCAGCCACUUCUGGACUCAAUGAUCUCUUGAAUCCACCGUACCAGCUAGGAAAUCCUUCAAUCUAUCCAUCAUGUCCCAGAAUCAAGGGACUAAAUAUUAUGGAGAGACCCAUCCACCUAAAGGGUCUCGGUGACUGACCAAGCCCAGCUCAAGACUGGACUCUGUCCUUCACUUACUCAGCCCCUGCCUCAGCCCCUCUGGUGAACCCACGAGAAGGCAAACCAAUAAAGUUUACUCUGGGAUAAAUCGCUGUGCCCAGUGUGAAAACUUAUUCAAAUGUUUACUGAGUGCUAACAGGGCAUGUUUUUU